rnacentral:tRNA from 1 species
UAAGGAGGAGUAUGAGGGGAGUACGAGGAGUUUUGAUCUCUUAAGUAUAGGUUCGAUUCCUAUUUCUUUAA